AUUGAACGCUGGCGGAAUGCUUUACACAUGCAAGUCGAGCGGCAGCGCGGGGCAACCUGGCGGCGAGCGGCGAACGGGUGAGUAACACAUCGGAACGUGCCCAGACGUGGGGGAUAGCCCGGCGAAAGCCGGAUUAAUACCGCAUACGAUCUGAGGAUGAAAGCGGGGGAUCGCAAGACCUCGCGCGUUUGGAGCGGCCGAUGGCAGAUUAGGUAGUUGGUGGGGUAAAGGCUUACCAAGCCUGCGAUCUGUAGCUGGUCUGAGAGGAUGAUCAGCCACACUGGGACUGAGACACGGCCCAGACUCCUACGGGAGGCAGCAGUGAGGAAUUUUGCGCAAUGGAGGCAACUCUGACGCAGCCACGCCGCGUGCAGGAGGACGCCCCUACGGGGUGUAAACUGCUUUUCUGCGAGAAGAAGGCCUUGCUUUGGGCAGGGUGUGACGGUAUCGCAGGAAUAAGCACCGGCUAACUCCGUGCC
rnacentral:rRNA from 1 species